GACGAACGCUGGCGGCGUGCUUAACACAUGCCAGUCGAACGGAAAGGCCCUGCUUUUGUGGGGUGCUCGAGUGGCGAACGGGUGAGUAGCAUGUGAGUAACCUGCCCUCGACUUUGGGAUAACUUCAGGGAACUGGGGCUAAUAUCGGAUAGGAGCUCCUGCUGCACGGUGGGGGUUGGAAAGUUUCGGCGGUUGGGGAUGGACUCGCGGCUUAUCAGCUUGUUGGUGGGGUAGUGGCUUACCAAGGCUUUGACGGGUAGCCGGCCUGAGAGGGUGACCGGCCACAUUGGGACUGAGAUACGGCCCAGACUCCUACGGGAGGCAGCAGUGGGGAAUAUUGCACAAUGGGCGGAAGCCUGAUGCAGCAACGCCGCGUGCGGGAUGACGGCCUUCGGGUUGUAAACCGCUUUCGCCUGGGACGAAGCGUGAGUGACGGUAAUGGGUAAAGAAGCGCCGGCUAACUACGUG
rnacentral:rRNA from 1 species